rnacentral:rRNA from 1 species
AUUGAACGCUGGCGGCAGGCCUAACACAUGCAAGUCGAGCGGAUGAAGGGAGCUUGCUCCUGGAUUCAGCGGCGGACGGGUGAGUAAUGCCUAGGAAUCUGCCUGGUAGUGGGGGAUAACGUCCGGAAACGGGCGCUAAUACCGCAUACGUCCUGAGGGAGAAAGAGGGGGAUCUUCGGACCUCACGCUAUCAGAUGAGCCUAGGUCGGAUUAGCUAGUUGGUGGGGUAAAGGCCUACCAAGGCGACGAUCCGUAACUGGUCUGAGAGGAUGAUCAGUCACACGGGAACUGAGACACGGUCCAGACUCCUACGGGAGGCAGCAGUGGGGAAUAUUGGACAAUGGGCGAAAGCCUGAUCCAGCCAUGCCGCGUGUGUGAAGAAGGUCUUCGGAUUGUAAAGCACUUUAAGUUGGGAGGAAGGGCAGUAAGUUAAUACCUUGCUGUUUUGACGUUACCAACAGAAUAAGCACCGGCUAACUUCGUG